CCUACGGGAGGCAGCAGUGAGGAAUAUUGGUCAAUGGCCGAGAGGCUGAACCAGCCAAGUCGCGUGAGGGAAGACGGCCCUACGGGUUGUAAACCUCUUUUGUCGGGGGGCAAAGCUAACCACGUGUGGUUCAUUGCGAGUACCCGAAGAAAAAGCAUCGGCUAACUCCGUGCCAGCAGCCGCGGUAAUACGGAGGAUGCGAUCGUUAUCCGGAUUUAUUGGGUUUACAGGGUGCGCAGGCGGAGGUGCAAGUCUGCGGUCAAAUUGCGGGGCUCAACCCCGUACUGCCGUUGACACUGCAUCACUUGAGUGCGCGAGAAGUAUGCGGAAUGCGUGGUGUAGCGGUGAAAUGCAUAGAUAUCACGCAGAACUCCGAUUGCGAAGGCAGCAUACCGGCGCGCAACUGACGCUCAUGCACGAAAGCGUGGGUAUCGAACAGGAUUAGAUACCCCUAGUAGUC
rnacentral:rRNA from 1 species